rnacentral:rRNA from 1 species
UACAGAGGGUGCGAGCGUUGUCCGGAAUCACUGGGCGUAAAGGGCGCGUAGGUGGUGGCUUAAGCGUGCGGUGAAAGCUCGGAGCUCAACUCCGAGUCGGCCGUGCGAACUGGGCUCACUGGAGCAUAGUAGAGGCAGGUGGAAUUCCGGGUGUAGCGGUGGAAUGCGUAGAGAUCCGGAAGAACACCGGUGGCGAAGGCGGCCUGCUGGGCUAUGGCUGACACUGAGGCGCGACAGCGUGGGGAGCAAACCGGG